CCUACGGGGGGCAGCAGUGAGGAAUAUUGGUCAAUGGACGAGAGUCUGAACCAGCCAAGGAGCGUGAAGGAUGACUGCCCUAUGGGUGGUAAACUUCUUUUAUAAAGGAAUAAAACGAGGCACGUGUGCCUUUUUGCAUGUACCUUAUGAAUAAGGAUCGGCGAACUCCGUGCCAGCAGCCGCGGUAAUACGGAGGAUCCGAGCGUUAUCCGGAUUUAUGGGGUUUAAAGGGAGCGUAGAUGGGUGGUUCAGUCAGUUGUGAAAGUUUGCGGCUCAACCGUAAAAUUGCAAUUGAUACUGGCAGUCUUGAGUACGGUUGAGGUCGGCGGAAUUCGUGGUGUAGCGGUGAAAUGCUUAGAUAUCACGAAGAACCCCGAUUGCGAAGGCAGCUUACUAGACUGUGACUGACAUUGAUGCUCGAAAGUGUGGGUAUCAAACAGGAUUAGAUACCCUGGUAGUC
rnacentral:rRNA from 1 species